UUCAAACUUUGCCUUGCCGGAUCCCAGUC
rnacentral:piRNA from 1 species